UACGAAAGGUGCAAGCGUUACUCGGAAUCACUGGGCGUAAAGCGCACGUAGGCGGACUCGUAGGUCAAUUGUGAAAUACCUGGGCUCAACCCCGGAACUGCCUUUGAUACUGGGUGUCUGGAGUAUGGAAGAGGUGAGUGGAAUUCCGAGUGUAGAGGUGAAAUUCGUAGAUAUUCGGAGGAACACCAGUGGCGAAGGCGGCUCACUGGCCCGAUACUGACGCUGAGGUGCGAAAGCGUGGGGAGCAAACAGG
rnacentral:rRNA from 1 species